UCCUCUUCCAUUUCAUUUUAGCAUAGCACGGUCCUUCUCAUCGAUUAGAGCUCGUCUCAAUUUUCUUUUCUGAAAACUCCUGCAUUAGGAGUUUCCUUGUGGCUCAGCAAGUUAAGGAUCUGGCAUUGUCAGCGCUGUGGCUCCGGACGCUGCUGUGGCACAACUUUGAUCCCUAGCCCAGGAACUUGCAUGUGCUGGGGGUACAGCCAAAAAAUAAAAUAAAAAACCUUUAUUAAAAAGACUUUAUCUAAAAUGAUCACAUUUGUUUGUUCACAUGUGUUAUUGAGAACCUAAGCAUAGUCUGUCCUCACUGAUAUUAUGAAGUAGAUAAAAACAUACACUGGAGGGAGUUUCUGUUGUUGUGCAGUGGAAACGAAUCUGACUGGUAACCAUGAGGUUGCAGGUUCGAUCUCUGGCCUAACAUUGCCGUGAGCUGCGGUGUAGGUCGAAGAUGCAGCUGAGAUCCUGUGUUGCUGUGGCUGUGAUAUAGGCCAGAAGCUGUAGCUCCGAUUCAACCCCUAGCCUGGGAACUUCCAUGUGCCACAGGUGAGGCCCUAAAAAGCAAGAAACAAAAAACAAACAAAAAAAACCAUCUGAAUUUUGAAGACUUGGUAUGAAGAAAAGGAUAUAAAAUGCCUCAUUAAUAAAAUGCUUUGCAUAUCUUGAGUUAAAUACAACAAAUUAUUAAAAUUAAUUCAUCCAUUUCCUUUUACUUUUUGUAGUGUAGAUGGCUACUCCAAAAAUAAAACUAUGGAGUCCUGGCCUGGCUCAGCGGAAACGAAACUGUUAAAUUUUUUUUUUUUUUUUUGGUCUUUUUACCUUUUCUAGGACCGAUCCUGUGGCAUAUGGAGGGGAAGAGGGAGGGACCCCUGAGACAGCAGGGAAGCCCUCAGGGUUGGCUGUAAACCUUUUCAGAAGAAAGCAAUGCUCUGGAAUGUCCUUUGAGCCUUGCGUGGUUGUGGCAAAGGGAUAGUCCAUUUUUUUUUCCUUAUGAUAGAUGAGGACUGCACCCCUCUGGAGGGUCCAGGUCGCAUGAACUAUUUUGACUGAAAUAGCUAAAUAAAGAUGCUAACAAAUAGGGAGCUAUCUAGACCAAUAACUCUCAGGCAAUGGUUUGCCAACCGUGAGCACUGGUGGGCUCUUUGUCACUGUGCGCACCUUAGGGUAGGGUAGGGGUU
rnacentral:lncRNA from 1 species